CCUACGGGUGGCUGCAGUGGGGAAUAUUGGACAAUGGGCGAAAGCCUGAUCCAGCCAUGCCGCGUGUGUGAAGAAGGCCUUCGGGUUGUAAAGCACUUUCAGUGGGGAAGAAAGCCUUGGGGCUAAUACCCUCGAGGAAGGACAUCACCCACAGAAGAAGCACCGGCUAACUCCGUGCCAGCAGCCGCGGUAAUACGGAGGGUGCGAGCGUUAAUCGGAAUUACUGGGCGUAAAGCGCGCGUAGGCGGUCUGAUAAGCCGGUUGUGAAAGCCCCGGGCUCAACCUGGGAACGGCAUCCGGAACUGUCAGGCUAGAGUGCAGGAGAGGAAGGUAGAAUUCCCGGUGUAGCGGUGAAAUGCGUAGAGAUCGGGAGGAAUACCAGUGGCGAAGGCGGCCUUCUGGACUGACACUUACGCUGAGGUGCGAAAGCGUGGGUAGCAAACAGGAUUAGAACCCUUGUAGUC
rnacentral:rRNA from 1 species